GUUUUCGUUGAUUAUCGGUGCCUGCACCGAGAUUCAACAUGAAACGAGUGGCGGACGGGUGAGUAACACGUGGGUAACCUGCCCUUAAGUGGGGGAUAACAUUUGGAAACAGAUGCUAAUACCGCAUAGAUCCAAGAACCGCAUGGUUCUUGGCUGAAAGAUGGCGUAAGCUAUCGCUUUUGGAUGGACCCGCGGCGUAUUAGCUAGUUGGUGAGGUAAUGGCUCACCAAGGCGAUGAUACGUAGCCGAACUGAGAGGUUGAUCGGCCACAUUGGGACUGAGACACGGCCCAAACUCCUACGGGAGGCAGCAGUAGGGAAUCUUCCACAAUGGACGCAAGUCUGAUGGAGCAACGCCGCGUGAGUGAAGAAGGCUUUCGGGUCGUAAAACUCUGUUGUUGGAGAAGAAUGGUCGGCAGAGUAACUGUUGUCGGCGUGACGGUAUCCAACCAGAAAGCCACGGCUAACUACGUGCCAGCAGCCGCGGUAAUACGUAGGUGGCAAGCGUUAUCCGGAUUUAUUGGGCGUAAAGCGAGCGCAGGCGGUUUUUUAAGUCUGAUGUGAAAGCCCUCGGCUUAACCGAGGAAGCGCAUCGGAAACUGGGAAACUUGAGUGCAGAAGAGGACAGUGGAACUCCAUGUGUAGCGGUGAAAUGCGUAGAUAUAUGGAAGAACACCAGUGGCGAAGGCGGCUGUCUGGUCUGUAACUGACGCUGAGGCUCGAAAGCAUGGGUAGCGAACAGGAUUAGAUACCCUGGUAGUCCAUGCCGUAAACGAUGAAUGCUAGGUGUUGGAGGGUUUCCGCCCUUCAGUGCCGCAGCUAACGCAUUAAGCAUUCCGCCUGGGGAGUACGACCGCAAGGUUGAAACUCA
rnacentral:rRNA from 1 species